UACGAAGGGGGCUAGCGUUGCUCGGAUUUACUGGGCGUAAAGGGCGCGUAGGCGGACAGUUAAGUUGGGGGUGAAAGCCCGGGGCUCAACCUCGGAAUUGCCUUCAAUACUGGCUGUCUUGAGUGUGAGAGAGGUGUGUGGAACUCCGAGUGUAGAGGUGAAAUUCGUAGAUAUUCGGAAGAACACCAGUGGCGAAGGCGACACACUGGCUCGCUACUGACGCUGAGGCGCGAACGCGUGGGGAGCAAACAGG
rnacentral:rRNA from 1 species